rnacentral:rRNA from 1 species
GACGAACGCUGGCGGCGUGCUUAACACAUGCAAGUCGAACGGAAAGGCCCCUUCGGGGGUACUCGAGUGGCGAACAGGUGAGUAACACGUGAGUAACCUGCCCUUGACUUCGGGAUAACUUCAGGAAACUGGGGCUAAUACCGGAUAGGAAUCCUUACUGCAUGGUGGGGGUUGGAAAGCUUCGGCGGUUUUGGAUGGACUCGCGGCUUAUCAGCUUGUUGGUGGGGUAGUGGCUUACCAAGGCUUUGACGGGUAGCCGGCCUGAGAGGGCGACCGGCCACAUUGGGACUGAGAUACGGCCCAGACUCCUACGGGAGGCAGCAGUGGGGAAUAUUGCACAAUGGGCGGAAGCCUGAUGCAGCAACGCCGCGUGCGGGAUGACGGCGUUCGGGUUGUAAACCGCUUUCAGCAGGGGCGAAGCUUGUGGUGACGGUACCUGCAGAAGAAGCACCGGCUAACUACGUG